GACGAACGCUGGCGGCGCGCCUAACACAUGCAAGUCGAACGAGCGAGAGAGAGCUUGCUUUCUCGAGCGAGUGGCGAACGGGUGAGUAACGCGUGAGGAACCUGCCUCAAAGAGGGGGACAACAGUUGGAAACGACUGCUAAUACCGCAUAAGCCCACGGCUCGGCAUCGAGCAGAGGGAAAAGGAGCAGUCCGCUUUGAGAUGGCCUCGCGUCCGAUUAGCUGGUUGGUGAGGUAACGGCCCACCAAGGCGACGAUCGGUAGCCGGACUGAGAGGUUGGACGGCCACAUUGGGACUGAGAUACGGCCCAGACUCCUACGGGAGGCAGCAGUGGGGAAUAUUGCACAAUGGGCGAAAGCCUGAUGCAGCGACGCCGCGUGAGCGAAGAAGUAUUUCGGUAUGUAAAGCUCUAUCAGCAGGGAAGAUAAAUGACGGUACCUGACUAAGAAGCACCGGCUAAAUACGUAG
rnacentral:rRNA from 1 species